CCUACGGGAGACAGCAGUGAGGAAUAUUGGUCAAUGGACGCAAGUCUGAACCAGCCAUGCCGCGUGCAGGAUGACGGCUCUAUGAGUUGUAACCUGCUUUUGUACGAGGGUAAACCCCGAUACGUGUAUCGGGUUGAAAGUAUCGUACGAAUAAGGAUCGGCUACCUCCGUGCCAGCAGCCGCGGUAAUACGGAGGAUCCGAGCGUUAUCCGGAUUGAUUGGGUUUAAGGGGUGCGUAGGCGGUUUGUUAAGUUAGAGGUGAAAUGUCGGGGCUCAACCCCGAAACUGCCUCUAAUACUGUUGGACUAGAGAAUAGUUGCGGUAGGCGGAAUGUAUGGUGUAGCGGUGAAAUGCUUAGAGAUCAUACAGAACACCGAUUGCGAAGGCAGCUUACCAAACUAUAUCUGACGUUGAGGCACGAAAGCGUGGGUAGCAAACAGGAUUAGAUACCCCAGUAGUC
rnacentral:rRNA from 1 species